rnacentral:lncRNA from 1 species
AGGAGUUCCCUUUUGUGUCAGGGUCCAGAGCCACUGGGAAAAGUAGUGAUAUCAGGGCCACCAAAUAUAUUUGGCGGGUUCUGGAAUACCUACGAGCGUGGCCAAGGGGCCAGCGGCGGCUGAAAUCCAGCCCACACCAGCCUCCUGGGCUCCUACCAUCCCGGUGCCUUCCGUGGGGACAAGUGGAGCUGCUGCCACCAAAAAGACGAGACAGUGUGUGAAUGAGCUUAACCAGUGGCUGUCUGCGCUGUGGAAGGUGAGCAUCAACAACACCGGACUGCUGGGCUCCUACCACCCUGGCGUCUUCCGUGGGGACAAGUGGAGCUGCUGCCACCAAAAAGAGAAGACAGGUCAGGGCUGCGAUAAGACCCGGUCACGGGUGACCCUGCAGGAGUGGAAUGACCCUCUUGACCAUGACCUUGAGGCCCAGCUCAUCUACCGGCACCUGCUGGGCGUGGAGGCCAUGCUGUGGGAGAGGCACCGGGAGCUGAGCGGGGGCGCAGAGGCAGGCACGGUGCCCACGAGCCCUGG